rnacentral:tRNA from 1 species
GUAGCGGUGGUUCAGUACUAGAAUUCUUGCCUUCCAUGCAGGAAACCCAGGUUCAAUUCUUAGCCAAUGCA